GAGAAGCUGAGGAGGAGGAGGCUGGGGGAGCACUCAUCCCCUGUAGAAUGAGGAGGCUAGCAGAGCUUGUUCAUAGUGGACCUAUGACCCAUUUGCCAAGAGGCCUCUGCUAUUUGUGGACAUCUCCUCCUGCUUCCCCACCCCCCGGUAGGAGGAGACAAUAGAGUAUAGAAGGAAGAGUAAUUCUUGGGGGUCAUCAAUAUGAAUCUGAAUUUAAAUGGCAAAGGAAGAAGGGAAGACGCUUCCAGGAAGAAGAAACAACUGGCAUCAGCAAAGAUCUGGAGUCAUGAAACUACCCCCGAGGAUGGCUGGGAAAAGAAGAUCCAGGAACUGCUGGUGUCUGUACUAGUUACCGCCCUGAUAGGAAAGGCAGAAGCCAUAGCUCUCACCAAACCUCCAGCAUUUAAACUUUGCUGUGGAGUCUACGUGACCCCACCACGAGGUGACCCUCACCUUUCCCUCCAUACCUGGGGAGACAGACAUGGCAGUGGUCACUGAACCCUGGGAUGACACGCUACCUCAUCCUUUAUGACACCCUUUGAUAUGUUGCUUUUGAUGCAUUUCUUUGUAUCCCAUUUGGUUUCAUUUUUAGCAAUAAACUCAUUCUUGGUA
rnacentral:lncRNA from 1 species